UUGCGGAGACAGGAUUUGAACCCGUGACCUCAAGGUUAUGAGCCUUGCGAGCUACCAAACUGCUCUACCCCGCG
rnacentral:tRNA from 34 species